rnacentral:rRNA from 1 species
UACGUAGGGGGCAAGCGUUGUCCGGAAUCAUUGGGCGUAAAGCGCGCGUAGGCGGCCCGGUAAGUCCGUUGUGAAAGUCAAAGGCUCAACCUUUGAACGCCGAUGGAUACUGCCGGGCUAGAGUCCGGAAGAGGCGAGUGGAAUUCCCGGUGUAGCAGUGAAAUGCGUAGAUAUCUGGAGGAAUACCGGUGGCGAAGGCGGCAUCCUGGACCGGCAUUGACGCUGAGGAGCGAAAGCCAGGGGAGCAAACGGG